GAGUUUGAUCGUGGCUCAGGAUGAACGCUGGCGGCGUGCCUAACACAUGCAAGUCGAACGGAGUUUAUGAGGAAGAAGCUUCGGCGGAAUUCUUAUAAACUUAGUGGCGGACGGGUGAGUAACACGUGGAGAACCUGCCUCUUACCGGGGGACAGCAGUUGGAAACGACUGAUAAUACCGCAUAAGCGCACGAGACCGCAUGGUCCUGUGUGAAAAGAUUUAUCGGUAAGAGAUGGCCCCGCGUCUGAUUAGCCAGUUGGCGGGGUAACGGCCCACCAAAGCGACGAUCAGUAGCCGGCCUGAGAGGGUGAACGGCCACAUUGGGACUGAGACACGGCCCAGACUCCUAC
rnacentral:rRNA from 1 species